AGAGUUUGAUCCUGGCUCAGAACGAACGCUGGCGGCAGGCCUAACACAUGCAAGUCGAGCGCCCGCAAGGGAGCGGCAGACGGGUGAGUAACGCGUGGGAACGUGCCCUUUGGUUCGGAAUAUUCCCGGGAAACUGGGAGCAAAACCGGAUAAGCCCUUCGGGGGAAAGUUUACGCCAAAGGAUCGGCCCGCGUUAGAUUAGGUAGUUGGUGGGGUAACGGCCUACCAAGCCUACGAUCUAUAGCUGAUCUGAGAGGAUGAUCAGCCACACUGGGACUGAGACACGGCCCAGACUCCUACGGGAGGCAGCAGUGGGGAAUCUUGGACAAUGGGCGCAAGCCUGAUCCAGCCAUGCCGCGUGGAUGACUGAAGGCCCUAGGGUUGUAAAGUCCUUUCGACGGGGACGAUAAUGACGGUACCCGUAGAAGAAGCCCCGGCUAACUUCGUGCCAGCAGCCGCGGUAAUACGAAGGGGGCUAGCGUUGUUCGGAUUUACUGGGCGUAAAGGGCGCGUAGGCGGAUUUUUAAGUCGGGGGUGAAAUCCCGGAGCUCAACUCCGGAACUGCCUUCGAUACUGAAAGUCUGGAGCACGGUAGAGGUGAGUGGAAUUCCGAGUGUAGAGGUGAAAUUCGUAGAUAUUCGGAGGAACACCAGUGGCGAAGGCGGCUCACUGGACCGUUGCUGACGCUGAGGAGCGAAAGCGUGGGGAGCGAACAGGAUUAGAUACCCUGGUAGUCC
rnacentral:rRNA from 1 species